rnacentral:rRNA from 1 species
GAUGAACGCUGGCGGCGUGCCUAAUACAUGCCAGUCGAGCGAACGGACGAGAAGCUUGCUUCUCUGAUGUUAGCGGCGGACGGGUGAGUAACACGUGGAUAACCUACCUAUAAGACUGGGAUAACUUCGGGAAACCGGAGCUAAUACCGGAUAAUAUUUUGAACCGCAUGGUUCAAAAGUGAAAGACGGUCUUGCUGUCACUUAUAGAUGGAUCCGCGCUGCAUUAGCUAGUUGGUAAGGUAACGGCUUACCAAGGCAACGAUGCAUAGCCGACCUGAGAGGGUGAUCGGCCACACUGGAACUGAGACACGGUCCAGACUCCUACGGGAGGCAGCAGUAGGGAAUCUUCCGCAAUGGGCGAAAGCCUGACGGAGCAACGCCGCGUGAGUGAUGAAGGUCUUCGGAUCAUAAAACUCUGUUAUUAGGGAAGAACAUAUGUGUAAGUAACUGUGCACAUCUUGACGGUACCUAAUCAGAAAGCCACGGCUAACUACGUG